CGGAGGAUCCAAGCGUUAUCCGGAAUCAUUGGGUUUAAAGGGUCCGUAGGCGGGUUUAUAAGUCAGUGGUGAAAGCCCACCGCUCAACGAUGGAACGGCCAUUGAUACUGUAGAUCUUGAAUUAUUAGGAAGUAACUAGAAUAUGUAGUGUAGCGGUGAAAUGCUUAGAGAUUACAUGGAAUACCAAUUGCGAAGGCAGGUUACUACUAAUGGAUUGACGCUGAUGGACGAAAGCGUGGGUAGCGAACAGGAUUAGAUACCCUGGUAGUCCACGCCGUAAACGAUGGAUACUAGCUGUUCGGAGCAAUCUGAGUGGCUAAGCGAAAGUGAUAAGUAUCCCACCUGGGGAGUACGUUCGCAAGAAUG
rnacentral:rRNA from 1 species